CGCACAUUGCGCCCCCUGGUAUUCCGGAGGGCAUGCCUGUCCGAGCGUCAGUAUCCCAUCUCAAGCCUGGCUUGUUGUUGGGCGGACCGGUUGGGUCCCCCUGAAAAGCAGCGGCGGCACCGUUUAGGUCGCAUCGCAACGAGCUUCGGCACGCGGUGCGGCCCCAACGGCCCGCCUACCACCUCUAGGUUGACCUCGGAUCAGACAGGAUUACCCGCUGAACUUAA
rnacentral:misc_RNA from 1 species